rnacentral:rRNA from 1 species
GUAGGUGGCAAGCGUUGUCCGGAAUUAUUGGGCGUAAAGCGCGCGCAGGCGGUCCUUUAAGUCUGAUGUGAAAGCCCACGGCUCAACCGUGGAGGGUCAUUGGAAACUGGGGGACUUGAGUACAGAAGAGGAAAGCGGAAUUCCAAGUGUAGCGGUGAAAUGCGUAGAGAUUUGGAGGAACACCAGUGGCGAAGGCGGCUUUCUGGUCUGUAACUGACGCUGAGGCGCGAAAGCGUGGGGAGCAAACAGGGAUUAGAUACCCUGGUAGUCCACGCCGUAAACGAUGAGUGCUAAGUGUUAGGGGGUUUCCCGCCCCUUAGUGCUGCAGCUAACGCAUUAAGCACUCCGCCUGGGGAGUACGGCCGCAGGCUG